GAGGGUGCAGCUCAGUGGUAAAGUGCAUGCCUGGCAUGUGUGAGGUCCCAGGUUCAAUUCCCUGCACCUUCA
rnacentral:tRNA from 1 species